rnacentral:rRNA from 1 species
GAUGAACGCUGACAGAAUGCUUAGCACAUGCAAGUCGACUCGAGUCUUCGGACUUGGGUGGCGCACGGGUGAGUAACGCGUAAAGAACUUGCCUCUUAGACCGGGACAACAUUUGGAAACGGAUGCUAAUACCGUAUGACAUUGCUUUUUUGCAUGAAGAAGCAAUUAAAACUACAGGUGGUGUAAGGUGGGCUCGCGUCUGAUUAGCUAGUUGGUGAGGUAACGGCCCACCAAGGCGACGAUCAGUAGCCGGCUUGAGAGAGUGAACGGCCACACUGGAACUGAGACACGGUCCAG